UGGUGGAGUGAUUUGUCUGCUUUAUUGCGAUAACGAGCGAGAUCUUAGCCUGCUAAAUAGUUACGCCAAACCUAGUUUGGUGGCCAACUUCUUAGAGGGACUGCAUACGUUAAGUAUGAGGAAGUUUGAGGCAAUAACA
rnacentral:rRNA from 1 species